GACGAACGCUGGCGGCGUGCCUAAUACAUGCAAGUCGAGCGAAGUUUUUCUGGUGCUUGCACCGGAAAAACUUAGCGGCGAACGGGUGAGUAACACGUAAAGAACCUGCCUUAUAGACUGGGACAACUAUUGGAAACGAUAGCUAAUACCGGAUAACAGCAUUAACUGCAUGGUUGAUGUUUGAAAGUUGGUUUUGCUAACACUAUGAGAUGGCUUUGCGGUGCAUUAGCUAGUUGGUGGGGUAAAGGCCUACCAAGGCGACGAUGCAUAGCCGACCUGAGAGGGGGAUCGGCCACCUCGGGACUGAGACACGGCCCAGCCCCCCACGGGGGGCAGCAGUAGGGAAUCUCCCGCAAUGGGGGAAAGCCUGACGGAGCAACGCCGGGUGAGUGAAGAAGGAUUUCGGUUUGUAAAGCUUUUUUGUUAGGGAAGAAUGAUUUGGUAGUAACUAUACACAGUAGAGACGGUACCUACCCAGAAAGCCACGGCUAACUACGU
rnacentral:rRNA from 1 species